rnacentral:rRNA from 1 species
AGAGUUUGAUCAUGGCUCAGGAUGAACGCUAGCGGGAGGCCUAACACAUGCAAGCCGAGCGGUAGAGAUUCUUCGGAAUCUUGAGAGCGGCGUACGGGUGCGGAACACGUGUGCAACCUACCUUUAUCUGGAGGAUAGCCUUUCGAAAGGAAGAUUAAUACUCCAUAAUAUAUUGAUUGGCAUCAAUUGAUAUUGAAAGCUCCGGCGGAUAGAGAUGGGCACGCGCAAGAUUAGUUAGUUGGUGAGGUAACGACUCACCAAGACGAUGAUCUUUAGGGGCCUGAGAGGGUGAUCCCCCACACUGGUACUGAGACACGGACCAGACUCCUACGGGAGGCAGCAGUGAGGAAUAUUGGUCAAUGGGUGCAAGCCUGAACCAGCCAUCCCGCGUGAAGGACGACUGCCCUAUGGGUUGUAAACUUCUUUUGUAUAGGGAUAAACCUACCCUCGUGAGGGUAGCUGAAGGUACUAUACGAAUAAGCACCGGCUAACUCCGUG